ACUCCACGGGAGGCAGCAGUAAGGAAUAUUGGGCAAUGGAGGCAACUCUGACCCAGCCAUGCCGCGUGGAGGAUGAAGGUCCUCUGGAUUGUAAACUUCUUUUAUAUGGGACGAAAAAGGGCCUUUCUAGGUCAACUGACGGUACCAUAUGAAUAAGCACCGGCUAACUCCGUGCCAGCAGCCGCGGUAAUACGGAGGGUGCAAGCGUUAUCCGGAUUCACUGGGUUUAAAGGGUGCGUAGGUGGGUUGGUAAGUCAGUGGUGAAAUCUCCGAGCUUAACUUGGAAACUGCCAUUGAUACUAUCAGUCUUGAAUAUUGUGGAGGUUAGCGGAAUAUGUCAUGUAGCGGUGAAAUGCUUAGAUAUGACAUAGAACACCAAUUGCGAAGGCAGCUGGCUACACAUAUAUUGACACUGAGGCACGAAAGCGUGGGGAUCAAACAGGAUUAGAUACCCUGGUAGUCCACGCCCUAAACUAUGGAUACUCGACAUACGCGAUAAACUGUGUGUGUCUGAGCGAAAGCAUUAAGUAUCCCACCUGGGAAGUACGAUCGCAAGAUUGAAACUCAAAUGAAUUGACGGA
rnacentral:rRNA from 1 species